CGUACAUCACAGUGACAUUACAAGAAAUUAAACACACAUAACACAUCUCUUAUUCUACGUAAUGACAUGAACUUAGCAAGCUAGUCAUUCAUGCAUGCAUGAUCAGAGCUAGUCAUUCAUGCAUGCAUGAUCAGUUUCAGUUGGGAAAUGGAAGUUUGUGAGGUGGCUUGACAGGGCCAGUUGGGGGCUUUAGUUUCCUCGGUGGCUUUGAUGGGUCUCUUCCACCCUCCACCACAUUCUGUUCAAGAUGGCGAUCGUGAUGAGGUGGCUUGUCUCCCUUGCCCUUAGGAGGCUGAUCAACUGGCUUGGGCUCUGGCUUGGGCUCUGGGAAUGGCUUGUGCUCAUCAAGUGGGGUUGGUGGCUUGGGUUUUGUGGGUGGCUUCGGCUUCUUUCCCUGAGGAGGCAAUUUCCCAUCCAAUGGCUCCUCUAGCAAACGAGUUCUGGUUUCUUGUUUGUGAUGAGGCGGUUUCUCACCCUUUGGAGGCUGAUCAACUGGCUUUGGUUCUGGCUUGGGCUCUGGCUUGGGCUCUGGGAAUGGCUUGUGCUCAUCAAGUGGGGUUGGUGGCUUGGGUUUUGUGGGUGGCUCCGGCUUCUUUCCCUGAGGAGGCAAUUUCCCAUCCAAUGGCUCCUCUAGCAAACGAGUUCUGGUUUCUUGUAUGUGAUGAGGCGGCUUCUCACCCUUUGGAGGCUGAUCAACUGGCUUUGGUUCUGGCUUGGGCUCGGGCUUGGGCUCUGGCUUGGGCUCUGGGAAUGGCUUGUGCUCAUCAAGUGGGGUUGGUGGCUUGGGUUUUGUGGGUGGCUUCGGCUUCUUUCCCUGAGGAGGCAAUUUCCCAUCCAAUGGCUCCUCUAGCAAACGAGUUCUGGUUUCUUGUUUGUGAUGAGGCGGCUUCUCACCCUUUGGAGGCUCGUCGUUGCCCGGGUUUCCUUUGUGCUCUGGUGGUGGCUUCUCUCCUUUUCUUGGUGGCUCAUCUCUUGGGUGUCCUGGUUCAUGCUCAGGUGGUGGUUUCUCUCCUUUUCUCGGUGGCUCAUCUCCCGGGUGCUCAGGUGGUGGCUUCUCAUCCUUGUGAGGCUCAUCACCUGGUUUCUCCUUUGGUGGUGGCUUUUGUCCCUUAGGAGGCUCAUUGUUCUCUGGUGGAGGCUUUUUUCCCUUUGGAGGCUCAUUGUUCUCUGGUGGAGGCUUCUUUCCCUUUGGAGGCUGGUCAUUGCGCUCUGGUGGUGGCUUUUGUACCUGGGGAGGCUGGUCAUUGCGCUCUGGAGGUGGCUUUUCUCCCUUGGGAAAUUGGCCCUCCACCUCUAACAAAUGGUGUUCGUUGUGGGGUGGCUUGUCAACUGGUGGAG
rnacentral:lncRNA from 1 species